AUUGAACGCUGGCGGCAUGCUUUACACAUGCAAGUCGAACGGCAGCACGGGAGCAAUCCUGGUGGCGAGUGGCGAACGGGUGAGUAAUAUAUCGGAACGUGCCCAGUAGUGGGGGAUAACUGCUCGAAAGAGCAGCUAAUACCGCAUACGACCUGAGGGUGAAAGGGGGGGAUCGCAAGACCUCUCGCUAUUGGAGCGGCCGAUAUCAGAUUAGCUAGUUGGUGGGGUAAAGGCCUACCAAGGCAACGAUCUGUAGUUGGUCUGAGAGGACGACCAGCCACACUGGGACUGAGACACGGUCCAGACUCCUACGGGAGGCAGCAGUGAGGAAUAUUGCGCAAUGGAGGAAACUCUGACGCAGCGACGCCGCGUGAAGGAUGAAGGCCCUCUCGGGUUGUAAACUUCUGUAGAGAGGGAAG
rnacentral:rRNA from 1 species